rnacentral:tRNA from 1 species
GCCGCGAUAGCUCAGUUGGUAGAGCACGUCCAUGGUAAGGACGGGGUCACGAGUUCAAGUCUCGUUCGCGGCUCCA